UAGAGUUUGAUCCUGGCUCAGAACGAACGCUGGCGGCAGGCUUAACACAUGCAAGUCGAACGCACCGCAAGGUGAGUGGCAGACGGGUGAGUAACGCGUGGGAACCUUCCCUUUGGUACGGAAUAACUUCCGGAAACGGAAGCUAAUACCGUAUAUCUCCUCCGGGAGAAAGAUUUAUCGCCAAAGGAUGGGCCCGCGUUGGAUUAGCUAGUUGGUAGGGUAAUGGCCUACCAAGGCGACGAUCCAUAGCUGGUCUGAGAGGAUGAUCAGUCACACUGGGACUGAGACACGGCCCAGACUCCUACGGGAGGCAGCAGUGGGGAAUAUUGGACAAUGGGCGCAAGCCUGAUCCAGCCAUGCCGCGUGAGUGAAGAAGGCCUUAGGGUUGUAAAGCUCUUUUGGCGGGGACGAUAAUGACGGUACCCGCAGAAUAAGCCCCGGCUAACUUCGUGCCAGCAGCCCCGGUCAA
rnacentral:rRNA from 1 species